CAGUCGGUGAAAGAUGCUGUUUUGUGCCUAUUUAACGCAAUAUUAAUUUCAUUUAUUAUAAAAAAUGCAUGAUAUAUUAGUGGUUAGUGUUCUGUUUAUGUCGAUUAUAGUAAAGCAUGUGGUAAGAUAUUUCAAGUGUUUGGAGAGCUUCAGAAUCCUCUAAUCAUUAUAUUGUAACUUUCACCAUAUAAUUACAGCAUGUGCAAUGGUUCAGAAUUCAAACUGUAAAUUUCGAUUCGAAAUUAUAAUAUAAAGUAUAGAACAGGAUAUCGUAUAAUCGUAAAUGAAAACAAAUUUAUAAGAAAAGGUUAUUUAUAAGAAAGGUUAAGAGGAAGUACACAAGAAAUUGUCACAUACUACCAAAAAAUCAAAAAAUUGUACAUGGCAUUUGAUAUUUUACAAUUCCAGGAAAUAAUACGAAUCUUGUUAAUAGUCCAAAUUUAAUUACACAGGAUUAAAUAAUAUUGAUUUCA